rnacentral:rRNA from 1 species
AACGUAGGAGGCGAGCGUUAUCCGGAGUUACUGGGCGUAAAGCGUAUGUAGGUGGCAAGGCACGUCAAAUGUGAAAGCUCCUGGCUAAACCAGGAGAGGGCGUGUGAUACGGCCUGGCUAGAGGGUGAUAGAGGAGCGUAGAAUUCCGGGUGUAGUGGUGAAAUGCGUAGAGAUCCGGAGGAAUACCAAAGGCGAAGGCAGUGUCCUGGGAAGUACCUGACGCUCAGGUGCGAAAGCCAGGGGAGCGAACGGG